ensembl:miRNA microRNA 153-1
UCUCGCAGCUGCCGGCGUCAUUUUUGUGAUUUGCAGCUAGUAAUCUGGCUCCAGUUGCAUAGUCACAAAAGUGAUCGUUGGCAGCCGUGCCU